rnacentral:lncRNA from 1 species
AUGUAUUGGCGAAGUUGUCGACUUGAAAGUAAAGUACGAUGAAAAAGUAGAUUGUUUGUAUUGAUUGAUGUGUUGUUUUACAAAUCUCUAAAGAUGGCUAUUUAUAGCCUGUUACAACUAAUUUCCUAACCGACUAGGAUCUAUCUCUAAUUUUAAACGAAAAUGAAUAUUUACAAACACAACUCGUAUCGGAGUUGGUUAUUAUACUCCCACGGGCCAAAUUC